UUAGUCAAAUUCUCCCACCGUUUCAUUUUAAAGAUGUUUACAGCUUUAGGAACCUACUUUUCAUCCUGAGUUUUCAUCCCACCGGAGAUUGGCGGCUUCAACUUCAUUGUCGCUGAGGCUGGUGGCCCAUUGGUGUCGGGUACAGUUUAUUGAUACAUAGGAGUUUAUAGGUAGGUUGGUUUUUGUAUACCUCUGUGUCGAAAGAAAUAUGUGUAUGUUGUUUGCUGCAAAUGAAUUGAUUUCAUUGCAUUUCAGGCUUAAUGACUUGAAGCAACGUGUUUGCUUACUUGCCAAAGCUUUUAACGUGUUUCGGGAGUGAUACACAUGGAGAAUACCAAUGGCUACACAUUCCAGGUUUGAGCAUUUGCUUGCUGUCUAUUUGCCAUACAUGACGAUAAAGAAAGCCAACAAAUUUUCAAGUCAUGUUCGCUGAUUAGGAUUGGAUUAGUCUUGGGUUAAGUAGAAUUUGAUUGAAGAGGCUAACAUUAAGUAUUUGUGGGUUAAUUUUCGCAUUGUUAGAUUUUUUGUAUGCAGAGAAAGGUUUCUGGCUCUUAUAUACCUAACUAUUAGCCUUUUAUUUGUAUUAUUUCUUUGUUCCAUAUAAGUAUUGCUUGCAAUGUCA